GAUGAACGCUGGCGGCGUGCCUAAUACAUGCAAGUCGAGCGCUGAAGGUUGGUACUUGUACUACCUGGAUGAGCAGCGAACGGGUGAGUAACGCGUGGGGAAUCUGCCUUUGAGCGGGGGACAACAUUUGGAAACGAAUGCUAAUACCGCAUAAAAACUUUAAACACAUGUUUUAAGAUUGAAAGAUGCAAUUGCAUUACCUAAAGAUGAUUCCGCGUUGUAUUAGCUAGUUGGUGAGGUAAAGGCUCACCAAGGCGAUGAUACAUAGCCGACCUGAUAGGGGGGUCGGCCACAUUGGGACUGAGACGCGGCCCAAACUCCUGCGGGAAGCAGCAGUAGGGAAUCUUCGGCAAUGGACGGAAGUCUGGCCGAGCAACGGCGCGUGAGAGAAGAAGGUUUUCGGAACGGAAAACACUGUUGGUGGGGGAGAACGAUGGUGGGAAGGGAAAGCUCAUCAAGUGACGGUAACUACCCAGAAAGAAACGGCUAACUACGUG
rnacentral:rRNA from 1 species